rnacentral:rRNA from 1 species
CGGGUGAGUAAUACGUGAGUAACCUGCCCUUGACUCUGGGAUAAGCCCGGGAAACUGGGUCUAAUACUGGAUGCUACAUGUCACCGCAUGGUGGUGUGUGGAAAGGGUUUACUGGUCUUGGAUGGGCUCACGGCCUAUCAGCUUGUUGGUGAGGUAAUGGCUCACCAAGGCGACGACGGGUAGCCGGCCUGAGAGGGUGACCGGCCACACUGGGACUGAGACACGGCCCAGACUCCUACGGGAGGCAGCAGUGGGGAAUAUUGCACAAUGGGCGAAAGCCUGAUGCAGCGACGCCGCGUGAGGGAUGACGGCCUUCGGGUUGUAAACCUCUUUCAGCAGGGAAGAAGCCACAAGUGACGGUACCUGCAGAAGAAGCGCCGGCUAACUACGUGCCAGCAGCCGCGGUAAUACGUAGGGCGCAAGCGUUGUCCGGAAUUAUUGGGCGUAAAGAGCUCGUAGGCGGUUUGUCGCGUCUGCUGUGAAAGCCCGGGGCUUAACCCCGGGUGUGCAGUGGGUACGGGCAGACUAGAGUGCAGUAGGGGAGACUGGAAUUCCUGGUGUAGCGGUGGAAUGCGCAGAUAUCAGGAGGAACACCGAUGGCGAAGGCAGGUCUCUGGGCUGUUGCUGACGCUGAGGAGCGAAAGCAUGGGGAGCGAACAGGAUUAGAUACCCUGGUAGUCCAUGCCGUAAACG